rnacentral:rRNA from 1 species
AGCGAACGCUGGCGGCAGGCCUAACACAUGCAAGUCGAACGAACCUUUCGGGGUUAGUGGCGGACGGGUGAGUAACACGUGGGAACGUGCCUUUAGGUUCGGUAUAACUCAGGGAAACAUGUGCUAAUACCGCAUGUGCCCUUCGGGGGAAAGAUUAAUCGCCUUUAGAGCGGCCCGCGUCUGAUUAGCUAGUUGGUUGAGGUAAUGGCUCACCAAGGCGACGAUCAGUAGCUGGUCUGAGAGGAUGAUCAGCCACAUUGGGACUGAGACACGGCCCAAACUCCUACGGGAGGCAGCAGUGGGGAAUCUUGCGCAAUGGGCGAAAGCCUGACGCAGCCAUGCCGCGUGAAUGAGGAAGGUCUUAGGAUUGUAAAAUUCUUUCACCGGGGACGAUAAUGACGGUACCCGGAGAAGAAGCCCCGGCUAACUUCGUG